UCCGUAGGUUGCGAGCGUUAAUCGGAAUUACUGGGCGUAAAGCGUGCGCAGGCGGUUUGGUAAGACAGAUGUGAAAUUCCCGGGCUUAACCUGGGAACCGCAUUUGUGAACGCCAGGCUAGAGUGCGGCAGAAGGGAGUGGAAUUCCGCGUGUAGCAGUGAAAUGCGUAGAUAUGCGGAGGAACACAGAUGGCGAAGGCAACUCCCUGGGCCUGCACUGACGCUCAUGCACGAAAGCGUGGGGAGCAAACAGG
rnacentral:rRNA from 1 species